GAGGGUAUAGCUCAGUGGUAUAGUAUGCACUUAGCAUGCACAAGGUCCUGGGGUCAAUCCCCAGUGCCUCCA
rnacentral:tRNA from 1 species